UUUUAGACACCUCAUGAUUAUGAAAGUACCCAGCAUAGACCUGGUACAUAGUGAGUCCUCAACAGAUGAGCGAUCAAUAUCUCCCUGAUACCUUUUUUCUACAUACUUCUGGGGGCUAGAGAAACUAGUCUUAUCCUGUUUUUCUACUACUGUAGUCCGAUCUAGAGCUUCAUCUCCCUUGAGAAGUUCCUUUUCCUUCCUGUGUUGCAGUGGGCUACUUUUGAGGAGAUCAAGCCCACUUCUCUGAGGAAUGAAUCAGAGGCAUUGCAUUUACCACAUAAAUAACUGAUUGAAGCAAAUCAUAGUAGCCUAUGCAAGCUGUGUACUAAGGGACUGAACUGGAAUACAGCAACAGGCAAAGCUUCAGGAAUCAAGAAGGCAAGAAAAGUGACACUCCAGAAAAUACAAAGUCCCACAGCUCUCUCAAUUCACGUUAAAUCUGGACUAUCUAGAAGCUGUUUUCUUCUAUCAAAGGCCAAAGUGAGUGGCUCAUGCCUGUAAUGUCAGCACUUUGGGAGGCUGAGACAGGAUGCUUGCUUGAGGCCAGAAGUUCAAGACCAGCCCGGGUUAUAAAGCGAGAGCUCAUCUCUACAAAAAAACAAAACAAAACAAAACAAAAGGCUAAAGUGAGGUACGUAAUUCUUCCCACUGCCAUAGCUUAAAGAAGCCUACAGGAUAGGUCAAGAACCAAGCUGCUAUGGCAGGAAUUGUAUGGAGUGUGCUGGAGACAACAAGGAGUCUCCUUUUGCUCUGUAAAAUUAAUAACGAGAGUAGCUAGAGUUAUGGAAAAGAGGUUUGGUGAAGAGUCAAAAAAAAAAAAGCAAAAGCCCUGAGCUUUGAGCACCUGCACACAGAGAGCCGGAGCUCUCUCCGCAGUUGGUGUUAAAUGACUGAACACAAGGAAGUAAUUGUUCCUGCACUAACUAACUAGUGCAGGAUUCUGAGAAAAGGUUCAAUAGACAAUGGAACGAUGGAAACGGGGGAAAAAUCUGAGAGAGAGAGAGAAAGAGAGGAGUUCCCUUAGACUGGUGACUGGUGAAAACCUUUCACAGUUCCUCAGUGAAGAAAGCUAGAGACCUUGGUGAAGAAACAUAUUGUCUAUUUUAAUGUGAUUUCUCCCUCUCUGUUUACCAAACACAUUCCAUAGUGUACUGUCAUCAUUAAUAAAGCUUCAUAAGGUUCUGAAUUUUGAGAUACUAUUGUUAAGGAUUCAUAGCUGAUCCAGGAGACUUAGAGUGACAAUUUUAGUCCAAAUUCUCGUAUGCAAAGUAGGCAGACUAGUCAAGCAACACCUUUUCAGCACUCUGCCUUAACCAAUCCUGUAUCUGAGUACGCUGCAUGUAUCCCUGGGUACUGUGGCCAAAACAGAGAGAACUCCUGCUUCCAGUCUGCCCACAAACCAGGAGACAGUCAUUCAACAGAGCAAUAAGACUACAAAAUGGAUCUUCUUCUGGUGUUAGAGAUGAAGAGAAACUAAUUCCUCCUUGUUUUUUACAACAGCAGUUUGAGUAGAGUUUAGGUAUGUAAAUAAAUAGUUCAACAGAGAAAAGAAAAGAUAAGUUAACAUAAUAAAGUUAGUUACUGGUUUUUUGUAUAUUAUUAAUGCAUAUAUUAGUGGCAUUUUCUGGACUUUAGAAAAUGCCUUUGCUGCCAGAUAGAUUUUAUGCUCAUCAAACACACACACACACACACAAAGGUAACUAUGUGAGGUGACAGAUAUGUUAUUUAACUUAAUUGUUGCAACCACUUCACAAUGUCCACGUAUACCAAAACAUCGCAUUGUGCACCUUAAAUAUAUUCAUUUUUUACUUGUCAAUUAUAUCCUAAAAAAAUCUGGAAAAAAUAAAAAUAAAUUUAAAAAAUGCUUUUAAAAUCUGUGUACUCAAUGUAAAGGCUAAAAAUAUAAUGCCUCCAAAAGAAAAUGAAAAAUAUCUUUGUGAUCUUGGAAUUGGCAACAGUUUCUUAGAUAAAACAGAGAAAAUAUUAACCAUUAAAAAUUAGUAAAUUGGACUUCAUCAAAAUGAAAAUUUCUGCUCAUCAAAAGACAUUGUUAAGAAAAUGAAAAGGCAAGCCACAGAAUGGGAGAAAAUAUUUAAAUACUUAUGUCUGACAGAAUAUAUAAAGAAUUCAUACAACCUAACAACAACAUGAACAAAUAUAUAUAUUUACCUAAAAAAUCUGUAAACAAAUAUUGAGCUGUCAUUAGUAAUAUGCUUUUUUUUUUUUUGACAGUGUCUCACUCUGUCAUCCAAGUUGGAGUACAAUAGUGAGAUUUCAGCUCACUGCAAUCUCUGCCCCCUAGGCUCAAGCCAUCCUCCCACCUCAGCCUCCCGAGUAGCUGGGAUUACAGGCAUGUGCCACCACACCUGGCUAAUUUUUAUAUUUUUUGUAGAGACAAGGUUUUGCCAUGUUGCCCAGGCUGGUCUCAAAUUCCUGAGCUCAAGUGAUCCACCUGCCUCGACCUCCCAAAAUGUUGUGAUUAAAGGCGUGAGCAACUGUGCCCAGCCAGUAAUAUGCGUGUUGAAGGGUAAAGUGUACUGAUGGGUACAACUUACUUUGGAAUGCAUUAAAAAAUAAGAUGGGUUGAUGGAUGAAUGAGAGAAUGGAUACACGAUAAAGUAAAUUAGCAAAAUGCUACUUGUAGAAUUUAGGUGGUGGGUAUUGGGACAAUAAUUGUCCAUUGUACAGUUCCUUUCUUUUUUUCUGUAUGUUUGAAAAAUUUCAUAACAAAAUGUUGAGAAAAAAAAAGUUAAAUAUUCACUUACCUCAUGAUCCAGCAGGUUAUCUUCUAGAUAUUUACCUAAAAGAAAUAAAAACUUAUGUUCAC
rnacentral:lncRNA from 10 species